GACGAACGUUGGCGGCGUGCUUAAUACAUGCAAGUCCACUGAAGCAGUGGUAGCAAUAUCGCUGUGGAGGUGGCGCACGGGUGAGUAACACGUAGGUAAUCUGCCUUCAGGUCUGGCAUAACUCCGGGAAACCGGGGCUAAUAGCAGAUGAUGCAGCGGCUCGACAUCGAGACAGUUGUUAAAGCUAUGGCGCCUGAAGAUGAGCCUGCGUCUGAUUAGCUAGUUGGCGGGGUAACGGCCCACCAAGGCAACGAUCAGUAGCUGGUCUGAGAGGAUGAUCAGCCACACUGGAACUGAGACACGGUCCAGACUCCUACGGGAGGCAGCAGUAAGGAAUAUUGCCCAAUGGGAGAAAUCCUGAAGCAGCAACGCCGCGUGAGGGACGAAGGGCUUUUGCUUGUAAACCUCUGUAGUGAGAGAAAAAAAUCCCAAUCUUUGGGACAUGAUGGUAUCUCAAAAGUAAGCCCCGGCUAACUACGUG
rnacentral:rRNA from 1 species